rnacentral:lncRNA from 1 species
UUUCUGUAGUAACUGACGCUGUAAAAAAAAAACACUGAAGACUGAAUAUCUCUGUAAAAAGACACAACUGAUCUUACACUGUCAAAUUCACUAGGAAACCCCAGCAACCAAAGUGUUUCAGGCUUUAUUCUAAAGGCAAGUGAGACCACUUCAAAUCACAGUUUAACAAUUCCAAGCUAAGAGAAGGCAGAGAUGAGCAGAAAUCCUUUGGCUGACGCGUACACAGUUGCCGUGGACCUGCAUGAGCAGUGCGAGACCACAGAGGCCAACUGGCAUAAGGAAAAGAUGGAGUUACUGGACCAGUUUGACAAUGAAAGAAAAGAAUGGGAGAGUCAGUGGAGGAUCAUGCAGAAGAGGAUCGAAGAGCUCUGCCAGGAAGUCAAGCUGCGGAGGAAAAUGAACAUGAAUGAACAUUCUAAGGUCAUUUGUCUUUGUCAUGAUCAAGAUAAAAUGGAAUUUCCUCCAAAUCCAAACUUAGGACAAUGCGAAUUCAGAGUGUUCAACCACCGAGAUGAUCCAGAAAAGGAAAAGAAAA